rnacentral:rRNA from 1 species
GUCUAAAAUGACUCUCGGCAACGGAUAUCUCGGCUCUUGCAUCGAUGAAGAACGUAGCGAAAUGCGAUACUUGGUGUGAAUUGCAGAAUCCCGUGAACCAUCGAGUCUUUGAACGCAAGUUGCGCCCGAAGCCAUUAGGCUGAGGGCACGCCUGCCUGGGUGUCACUAA